AACGAACGCUGGCGGCGUGGAUUAGGCAUGCAAGUCGAGCGAGAACCGUAGCAAUACGGGGACAGCGGCGAAAGGGACAGUAAUGUGUAGGUACCUACCCCGAGGUCUGGGAUAGCUGCGGGAAACUGCAGGUAAUACCGGAUAAUGUCUUCGGACCAAAGGUGUGAUUCCACCUUGGGAGGGGCCUGCAUCCUUUUAGCUAGUUGGCGGGGUAAUGGCCCACCAAGGCAACGAUGGGUAGCGGGUGUGAGAGCACGACCCGCGUCAUUGGGCCUGAGACACUGCCCAGACACCUACGGGUGGCUGCAGUCGAGGAUCUUCGGCAAUGGGCGAAAGCCUGACCGAGCGACGCCGCGUGCGGGAUGAAGGCCUUCGGGUUGUAAACCGCUGUCGUAGAGGAGGAAAUGCAGGGGGGUUCUCCCUUCUGUUUGACCUAUUCUAGGAGGAAGUACGGGCUAAGUUCGUGCCAGCCGCCGCCGUAA
rnacentral:rRNA from 1 species